rnacentral:rRNA from 1 species
AACGAACGCUGGCGGCAUGCCUGACACAUGCAAGUCGAACGAAGCCUUCGGGCUUAGUGGCGCACGGGUGCGUAACGCGUGGGAAUCUGCCCUUGGGUUCGGAAUAACAGUUAGAAAUGACUGCUAAUACCGGAUGAUGUCUUCGGACCAAAGAUUUAUCGCCCAAGGAUGAGCCCGCGUAGGAUUAGGUAGUUGGUGGGGUAAUGGCCCACCAAGGCGACGAUCAGUAGCUGGUCUGAGAGGAUGAUCAGCCACAUUGGGACUGAGACACGGCCCAAACUCCUACGGGAGGCAGCAGUGGGGAAUAUUGGACAAUGGGCGCAAGCCUGAUCCAGCCAUGCCGCGUGAGUGAUGAAGGCCUUAGGGUUGUAAAGCUCUUUCGUCCGGGACGAUAAUGACGGUACCGGAAGAAGAAGCCCCGGCUAACUUCGUGCCAGCCGCCGCAGUAAUAC